rnacentral:lncRNA from 1 species
GGCUACUGGGUGUAAAAGAUAAAUCUUAUUCUAUCUGUUCUUAAUGAGUUUUAGAUAAUUUUAGUUGUAUUUCUUUGUAAUUUUGUGUUGUACAAAGAUUAAUUUAACAUUUUCUCUGGAAGUAUUAAUUUAGAAAGAUAAUAUGCUUCAAUGGUGUUGUGUUUUGAAGUGUGAAAUGCAAAGUAAUUGUGAUAAAGUCAAGAUAAAGUUCACUUUUAAACUGAACUAAAUAAGGUAUCUGAGAGACAACAAUGGUUAAAUGCAAUACAAUGUACAGGUUUUACUAGCGAAAUGAAAAUUUUCCUGUCCUGUCUGCUGUAAUCAUUUUAUAUCUGGAAAACCAGCCGACUUAAUCGAUAAUAACAAUCUCCAGAUUGGGUUCCCUCAAUAAAUAUGGGCUAUAAACACAAUGAAAUAAGUUCCCCAAAAUCUAAAAUGGAGUGCUAUCAAAGGAGAAUUAAAGGAAAAAA